CGUAUACAAUCUGCCUAUAACUGGAGGAUAGCCCGGAGAAAUUCGGAUUAAUACUCCAUAACAUAAUGGUGUGGCAUCACAUUAUUAUUAAAGCUCCGGCGGUUAUAGAUGAGUAUGCGGAUGAUUAGCUAGUUGGUGAGGUAAUGGCUCACCAAGGCUACGAUCAAUAGGGGUACUGAGAGGUUAAACCCCCACACUGGUACUGAGACACGGACCAG
rnacentral:rRNA from 1 species